UAGACCUCAAUUGAGCC
rnacentral:rRNA from 1 species